ensembl:lncRNA
UAGAUAGAUAGAUACACAGACAGAUAGAUAGAUGGAUAGAUGGAUAGAUAGAUAGAUAGAUAGAUAGAUAGAUAGAUAGAUAGAUAGAUGGAUAGAUAGAUAGAUAGAUAGAUAGAUGGAUAGAUGGAUAGAUAGAUAGAUAGAUAGAUAGAUAGAUAGAUAGAUAGAUAGAUAGAUGGAUGGAUAGAUAGAUAGAUAGAUAGAUAGAUAGAUAGAUAGAUAGAUAGAUAGAUAGAUGGAUAGAUAGAUAGAGAUAUAUAGAUAUAUACACUGUAGAAGCAAGUGGCUGAGCAGACAUAAUGGGAUAAAGAAGGUAUAGCCCUGGAGGAUUUGGAUUUGUUGUUUACUUUGUAAGUCAUUGUUAUAUAAUGGAAAUUGUCUAUUGGACUGGGUAACUAGUAAUCAGGUAUCUGGGAAUUGGAGUUCGUUCCACUCCACUCACACUUCCACUAUCACCUGGAAGUAUCAUUGGGAUCCUACUUGUAUCAGGAGACUUUUUCUGAGGAAUAAAUGGCUCUACUUCGACCUUCUGGCCCCUAGGGCAGCUCGGUCCAUGACGCUGCUCUCAGUCAGCAGGAAGAACGCUCAGGGCCAUUUCCCUCAUGGCCCCGCCCAGGAAAUGAUAGUGAUCCACAUCCGCCCGCCCCUCUCGAUCAAAUCCAGACACAAGAGUCUGGCUACACUUCUGACUGUGGCCUUCCCCAUUCCAGAGAUGAUAGAGAAGGAGAUGAUGUAGGGGAGCAUGGAGAGGAGGAGAACUGGGUGACUUCUUUGAGCCUCAACUCUUUGCAUCUCUUCAUCUGGAAAAUAAGAGAAAAUACAAGAGCACUUCUGCUUGCCUCACAGGAUUUUUAUGAGGACCAGUAAUUAUAAUGUGGAGCAAGGUUGGAGGAGUGAACUACAACUGCUCUGUCACCAAAAAAUCUUCUGAGACAAAUAUUAAAAUGUCACCACAAAACAAAUACAGGAGUGAAAGAACCAGCAAAGAGACAGAUCAAAACAAAUUUCAAGAAAAGAAAAUAACCAAAAGAAUGGAGCAUAUGAAAAUUCAUCUUCAGGGAAAACCAGAACUGUCAGAGGUUCCUGCCUACUUGGUAAUGGUCAUACAGUUUGAGAAUUUCUUACAAUGUUUCUCCAAGAAUUAAAGAUAGAAUUAUUCCAUGAGGUCAAUUUACAGAGCUGACAAUUCUUCCAUUAAAUAGAUUCCCCAAACCAGUUUUUACAUUCACGGGGGGAAAUUGCUGCUAAUGAUGGAAUUUAAUAUAUUCUCCAGUCACCUAAAUCUGAAGCCAGAAAAGUUUGAUUAUGUAUGUAUUCCCUUUUUGUGAAAAGAAAGGAUGCCAAUUAUUUGGUCUUUGUAAAUAAGGACACCGUGGUGGCAAAUGAUACACAUUUGGGUAUUCUGUAGAGGUAGGAAUGAAUAUGAGAAGACAGUAGGUAUGUUGACAUAUUAGACUAAUAGCAUCUUGAAAGCAAAGACUUUUCCCCUUUUCUAUGUAUCCUCAUUACUUGGCAUAAUGCUUAGCAGAUAGUAAGCACUAAAUCCUGCUUUGAUAACUGACUGAUUUAUACACAGGGGAGUGUUGCUAAAUGUAUAACAAUAGAAUCUCUAGAGAAAAAAAAGUAUGUUUGAUAAACAUUUAAUCUUAAUUUCCAUCAUUAACAUUUUUGCCAUUAAAUUCUAGGUAAUCAAUAAGACAGUAAAUCAUAUCCUCUCUUGUACCACUUGUCAAAUUUUGUACUUGACCUUACUGCUAUCAAAGAUCAUGCUUUUUUUUUUAGUUUGGUUAUUGUUUUUCUGUACUCCUUGCAUAAAUCUAGGCAUUUCCCUCUAUUUUUCCUUUUGUCCUAUCCCCCUUCAUUCAAUAAAGAAUUUAGCUUCCUUCA